rnacentral:tRNA from 1 species
GCGCCCGUAGCUCAGUGGAUAGAGCGCCGCCCUCCGGAGGCGGAAGUCGCAGGUUCAAAUCCUGCCGGGCGCG